rnacentral:lncRNA from 1 species
ACCCAUUCUAUGAGCUCAGAAAAAUGAUGUCAUCUCUUGUAUCCAUUUUAUUAUCUCCCAAUUUCUAUUCUCAUUCUUUCAUAUCCAGAGGUACAUGUCAUCUGAAGCCUUGGGCCCUCCGCAUCAUAAAUCAGGAACAAAUCCAGGAGGGAGAAAGAGCAAAGGAGACAAGGACCUCGUUAAGAACACUAAGUUUCUGUGUAGAAAUUUCUAUAACUUUUGACGUGGAUCUUCACCCUCUAAAGCCCAGGAAUCUUUUUUCCACUUUAAAACUGGAGAAAAAAGUGUUGGCUUGA